GGUUACAUAUGUAAGUGGAAUGGAUAUUCCAACUAAUGCGAAAGGAAAGGGGAAAUUGCAUCGAUUUCCCUCAAAAGGGAAACUUUAAAGUUGUUUAAUGAUGUUUUAUGUACGUGGAACUUCUCAGUGCUGGUCCCUUAGUGCUGGUGGGCUGGUGGGUACAGAGAGCUGUCAGUUUAUUCAGGAGGGCACCUGGGAUGAUGGUGUUGAAGGUGGAGCUGAAGUCCACAAAUCGGAUCCUUUCAAGUCCCUGGUUUGUCCUGAUGUCGGAGAAUGUCCCAUGUUGACUACAUCGUUCACAGACCCGUUUGCUCGGACAUUGAGCCAUAAUUUCAGCUGCUGCUCUCCGAUCAUCACUAGGAAUCUUCACCUGUCCUUCUGGUAACCAAAAUUUCCUAAAGCUGAUUACUGGAUUUUGAUAAAAAAGCAAGAAAAUGUUCCAUGUGUUAUUAUGAGACUCCUAUUAUAGAAAGCACUCAUGUUCAUCAACUGAUCAGCGCCUGCCGAAAUGUCUAAUUCCUCUCAGCAGACACCUCCAUCGCCCUGUCUUGGGUAUUCUACAGUGCUGCAGCUGAGAUAUAAAUACACAUACAUCCUUCUUUACAAGAUCUUUAAGAGAUAUUUCCUUUUAAAUGAAAAGGGCUCCAGAGAACCGUCAUUGCUGCUCACCAAGACGCGUUACUUCAACCAUCUGGUAAUCACAGUCUUUUACACAGUAUUACUUUGGUGAAGAGAAUUGACAUUGAUGAUUAUUAGAUGAACACUUAUGUGAAAUAGAUCUUGAGUUUCGGCUAACUGUCAUUUGCAGGGAUUCCCUUAUCAUACCACCACUGAGAACAGUUUCACUGACAUACAGGUGAGGGAUUAUCCAUUGUGGCAUCACAAAACUCUUGUUAGUUGCAGUGUCUAAUUAUGUUCACAAUAAAUUGUUCUCUCAAGGGAGAAUCUGGGAAGGUUACAGAGUUUAUGUCCUGUAACCACGUGGAGACAUCAGUCAAUGAGCCACUUGAAGAUUACAUGGUAAAUUUAUUGCAAUGUCAUGAAGCGUUUAUUGUAGAUAGUAUUUCUUGAAACUUUGUCCAUUGUACAUUUAUGUGUUUGCAUUGUCAAUAUUUUAACUUAUUUAUCAGAUCUUCAAUAAGGUCUGCCAAAUGCAAAUACCUGCAUGUGGCUGAAGAUGGUCAGGUGAACACCUCCACCUGGGAGCAGGAGCAUGUUCACUCUCCCCACAGUGACUCAGAGGGAAAUCAUGAUUAUGAGGUAAUUCUAUGUUUCAGACCUGAUGUGUACAGUAUCUGUAUAUUCUGUAAAUGGGAGGCUGUAAACAUUUACUGUGUCUUCUUUAAUGAUUCAUUGCUAAUUUGUGAACAUGAAGCUGCAUGCUCUCCGUGUGGUGUUUUAAUAAAACCUCAUGGUUCAUCUGCUGUUAUCGCUCAGGGGAAGUCUACUUUUGUCCAGUCUGCUUUUACUUAUAUUGUGUGCUGUCUUAUAUUCAGACUGUUUGUCAUGCAUCUGGCAGCAGGUAACGACCAGGUGACAUUAGAGCGAUGAUAGACUAGGCUUGUAAUUGUUGUUAAAAUGUUGUAGAUGGUAAAUGAAGAAAAACCAGGCAAUUAGGUAAAAAGGACUAAUUGUCUGUUUUUAUUUUUAAAAAAAACACAAGGUACUGUAGAGAUAAACAGGUAAAUAUUGAAGUACAUCAUCUGUGUAUCUUUCAUGAAGUACUGGACAUUCAUAGGCUUACAUACUGUUUCUUUUUAGGUUAUAAAAUAAGUAGCCAUGUUUAAAAAUAUGUGAGUUACAGAGAUUUUUUUGCAGCAGGGACCUACUUUGUUGUGCUUAUUGUAAGUGUCCAAGAUCUUUAGAUGCCACAGUGCAAAAAACCCACUGACACUGUGUUGGAUUGUGAUGGUGAUGAUGGUGUGUAAUUUGUCUAUAGGAUCAGCUUACAGACCUUGUUUAAAGUGUUGUUUACUCAGCCCCUGGAGCUCUACCAUGACAGCCUUAGCCGGCACACUUGGGCGUCUCCUCAGGCAGCACGUCGAGAAGAUGAUGGAGAAGCUUUGAGCAAUGUUCUUCUCUCUACCCAAAUACUAAUUUCUUCCUCUGUUAUAUUUCAUAUUUCUUCUUUUCCCUCAUUUCUUUUCUAUACAUUGCUCAAACUCUCCACAUGUAAGUGUAAAUUGAUUUUAUUUUUUAUCUUUGAUUAACCCUGAUAUUUAAAAAUACCCUUUUUUACCUACAGGUCUGUGCAGCAAAGCCAGGAAUGAGGGAUUAGUUUUAAUGUCCCUCAUCCCUCAUUAAGCCUCCCUCAUUUAUCUAGUCCUUUGUCUUCAUUCCUGUUUAUAUAGUUGAAGAGCUGUAAAUACAAUUGUUGUAAAGAAACUCAUAGCCAUUUUGUGUUAUUAACAGUUAGAUAUAGUAUUUUAUACUUUAUAGUUUACCUUAAUAAAUGUUUUCAUUUGUUUCUA